rnacentral:rRNA from 1 species
UACGGAGGGUGCAAGCGUUGCUCGGAAUUACUGGGCGUAAAGGGCGCGUAGGCGGGAUGGUAAGUCGGUCGUGAAAUCCUUCGGCUCAACCGAAGAACGUCGAUCGAUACUACUGUUCUUGAGGGUUGCAGAGGAGACUGGAAUUCCCGGUGUAGCGGUGAAAUGUGUAGAGAUCGGGAGGAACACCGGUGGCGAAGGCGGGUCUCUGGGCAAUUCCUGACGCUGGGGCGCGAAAGCGUGGGGAGCAAACGGG